AUUUUUACCGUUGCAUCAUGUCGCCCAAUAUGAUGCUUGCUCGUACCAGGCCCCUGCAAUUUCAACAGGGGCCUUUUUUU
rnacentral:sRNA from 2 species